AUGGUGACUACAAAGAAGCAUCUUUCUUAUCCUUUAGUAUACCGACUUGUAAAGCUAGCACUUACUUUGCCUGUUGCCACUGCAACCGUUGAGAGGUGCUUCUCAGCUAUGAAGACUGUGAAGAAUGCUCUACGUAGCAAAAUUAGUGAUGAUUUUAUGAACCAUGGCCUUAUCUGCUUCGUAGAAAAAGAAUUGUUGAACAACAUUCCAAAUGAAGUGAUAGUUAAAUGUUUUCAUGCCGUGAAAGAACGUCGUGGGAUGAAACCGAAGGUAAUGCUCGGCCUAAAGCUCUUACUGUUUUUGUUAAUAUCAGCCUUCUUCAAUGUUUCCACCCUCUAA
rnacentral:rRNA from 1 species